ACACAAAUGGCUCCUAUUACUGGUCAUUGUGACCAAGGAUAUGUCAAUACACCUGAGGGCCAAGGUUGCAUUGAUGCAGAUGAAUGUGAAAUAAGUAGUGAGUUGUGUGGUGAGGCUCAUUGUGAGAAUGUGAGGGAAGCUUCCUGUGCCUCUGCCCCACUGAUGAUGAGGAAUUCGACCCCAUUACUACGCAGUGCAAACCCCGCCACAUGAUCUUACCAGACUCUGCAGGACAUGACCUCCCUGCUCCUCCCCAUGGGUGCCUCUGAUGACGAACAGAGGAAGGAUUGCUACUACAACCUACACGACGCCAACUUCUGUGAAAAUGUGCUGUCCAGUAAUGUCACCAAGCAGGAAUGCUGCUGCACUGUAGGAGCAGGCUGGGGAGAUAACUGCAACAUGCACCCAUGCCCACAAA
ensembl:lncRNA